rnacentral:tRNA from 1 species
GGGCCCGUGGCGCAGCCUGGAUAGCGCGGCAGACUUCUAAUCUGUAGGUCGAGGGUUCAAAUCCCUCCGGGCCCG